rnacentral:lncRNA from 1 species
GGUUAGAAUAGGGGUCAAGCGGGAGUCGACAAAAUAGCUUUAGCGGUCGAUGACGGGCUUCCACGAUAAGAUCUACACAAUUCUCCGGUCAAGUCGCCAGGUCAAGUCAAUGUAAUCAUCACCUCCACCUUCGCCCUGUUCUUCUAAUUGAGGCGGCAAGGAGAAGGUAGGGCGGGAGAUCAAACUGCUCGCCAUGGCUUUCACCCUAUUCUUCUCAUCAUCGUUAUUCUACCUUUUGGGCAUCCUCCUUCUCCACGGGGCAGCGGUGGCACGA